UACGGGGGGGGCAAGCGUUGUUCGGAAUUACUGGGCGUAAAGGGUUCGUAGGUGGCCAACUAAGUCAGACGUGAAAUCCCUCAGCUUAACUGGGGAACUGCGUCUGAGACUGGAUGGCUUGAGUGCAGGAGAGGAACGCGGAAUUCCAGGUGUAGCGGUGAAAUGCGUAGAUAUCUGGAGGAACACCGGUGGCGAAGGCGGCGUUCUGGACUGCAACUGACACUGAGGAACGAAAGCCAGGGGAGCAAACAGG
rnacentral:rRNA from 1 species